ACUGAAAAAAAUGAUUUUGACAUGUAGUAAUUUUUCCCUAAAUGAAACUGUAUUUAUAUACUCAAUUUGUUUGUGUUUUGCAAAAACUCAUUUCAGAUAAGUAAUAUUUGCAAGAAAAAAAGGGGUUUGCUUCAGAUUUGUUUGUGUUUUAGAAAAAACUAAUUUCAGUUAAGUAAUAUCUGCAAGAAAAAAAAGGGGUUUUGCUUCAGAGGCGGUGCUGCGAAUGCGGUUAUUUGGCUGCCAAAAGACGAUUGUCCUCCAUUUUGCAAACGGUUCCGUUGGCUUGAAGAGAUCUGCACUUGAAACCUUCGGUUUUGACUUUUAACGUUACAGGUAUUGAGAAAUGUCCUUGCUUGAUGACUGGAUCAGGAAAUGCCUGUGAUGCUUCGGUAUUCAGUCAAGCUACAGGUCAAAGAUGCGUAGCGUAACCUUGGAUGUCCAGUGACCGCUGUUUUCCAGAAGAAGAAGGUCAUAAGUUCCAGAAGAAGGUUUAAAGGACAUAAAAUGGCCAAACAUUUGAGGAUUUUGCAAGGUAGACUGUACAUCUGAGGAGGGAGGCAGCCAUCAAGACCCUGUGCCUUUAUUUUGGUGAAGAUGAUGAUUCUCUCAUACAUGUACAUGGAUAUCCAUGGCAAGGAGGUGUCAAGAGAAAACCACCCCUUGGAACAUGAGGACAUCGGCAUCGUUGUGGAUGGAGGCAUCAUUUUGGAGGAACCUGGUCUGUUGCACAAGGCUGUGCAGUGAAGCCAGAGACUUUCUAAUGAGGAGACACAGCACUCAAAAAAUCCUCCAUAGAAAUGCAUGGGGUUAGUUUGUAACGCCGUUGUAUACACAUAUCCCACCCCUUCCUCGGCAAAACGUUGACAUGUGAAUAUGUUGACAUGUAACUUACAACUAAGUCAAGCCAACUCCAAUCAAAUAUUUUGAGUAAAAUGUGACAUGCAAGAAUUACUUAAUUUUAUUUAGGUAACCAUUUGCACUCGAUUUAAUUUAGCUACAUCCAGCCAUUUAGAUUUAGUUGAAUUUGCUUAAUAUUUUCUUGCAAAUAAAGCUAAACUAAACUCAA